UUUACUACAUUGAAACCCACCUAUAACUUUCGUUCUUCCGAGUUGUCCAUGCGGAAAUUAUCUGGAGACCUGAACUGAAGAGGC
rfam:Cicer arietinum chromosome Ca2, whole genome shotgun sequence.